rnacentral:rRNA from 1 species
AGCUUACCUGCAGUCGUACAGGUAGCACAGAGAGCUUGCUCUCGGGUGACGAGUGGCGGACGGGUGAGUAAUGUCUGGGAAACUGCCUGAUGGAGGGGGAUAACUACUGGAAACGGUAGCUAAUACCGCAUAAUGUCGCAAGACCAAAGAGGGGGACCUUCGGGCCUCUUGCCAUCAGAUGUGCCCAGAUGGGAUUAGCUAGUAGGUGGGGUAACGGCUCACCUAGGCGACGAUCCCUAGCUGGUCUGAGAGGAUGACCAGCCACACUGGAACUGAGACACGGUCCAGACUCCUACGGGAGGCAGCAGUGGGGAAUAUUGCACAAUGGGCGCAAGCCUGAUGCAGCCAUGCCGCGUGUAUGAAGAAGGCCUUCGGGUUGUAAAGUACUUUCAGCGGGGAGGAAGGUGUUGUGGUUAAUAACCACAGCAAUUGACGUUACCCGCAGAAGAAGCACCGGCUAACUCCGUGCCAGCAGCCGCGGUAAUACGGAGGGUGCAAGCGUUAAUCGGAAUUACUGGGCGUAAAGCGCACGCAGGCGGUCUGUCAAGUCGGAUGUGAAAUCCCCGGGCUCAACCUGGGAACUGCAUUCGAAACUGGCAGGCUGGAGUCUUGUAGAGGGGGGUAGAAUUCCAGGUGUAGCGGUGAAAUGCGUAGAGAUCUGG